UACGUAGGGUGCGAGCGUUAAUCGGAAUUACUGGGCGUAAAGCGUGCGCAGGCGGUUCGUUGUGUCGGCGGUGAAAGCCCCGGGCUUAACCUGGGAAUUGCAUUUGUGACUGCACGGCUAGAGUGUGUCAGAGGGGGGUAGAAUUCCACGUGUAGCAGUGAAAUGCGUAGAUAUGUGGAGGAAUACCGAUGGCGAAGGCAGCCCCCUGGGAUAACACUGACGCUCAUGCACGAAAGCGUGGGGAGCAAACAGG
rnacentral:rRNA from 1 species